CCUACGGGUGGCAGCAGUGAGGAAUAUUGGUCAAUGGCCGGAAGGCUGAACCAGCCAAGCCGCGUGAAGGACGAAGGUGCCAAGCAUUGUAAACUUCUUUUGUCAAGGGACAAAAUCAGGCUCGAGAGCCUGACCGAGGGUACUUGAAGAAAAAGCAUCGGCUAACUCCGUGCCAGCAGCCGCGGUAAUACGGAGGAUGCGAGCGUUAUCCGGAUUUAUUGGGUUUAAAGGGAGCGUAGGCCGGUCUUUAAGCGUGCCGUGAAAUUUUGUGGCUCAACCAUGAGAGUGCGGCGCGAACUGGAGACCUUGAGUGCGCGGAAGGCAGGCGGAAUUCGUGGUGUAGCGGUGAAAUGCUUAGAUAUCACGAAGAACCCCGAUUGCGAAGGCAGCCUGCCGCAGCGUUACUGACGCUGAAGCUCGAAAGCGCGGGUAUCGAACAGGAUUAGAUACCCCAGUAGUC
rnacentral:rRNA from 1 species